CCCUUCUUUUUCUCUUCUCUCCUCAAUUCCUCAAACCCUCCACCAGCUGCUACCUGUCACAGUCCGAUGGUGGACAAUCAACCCUAAAAUUUCACCAUAUAAUCUUCACAACCUCUUAUUUCCAUAUCUUCAAACCAAAUCCUUAAAAAAAAACCUUAAAAUACACGAAUAGUAGAUCUAAGAAAGCCUAGUCGUCAAUUUUUUCUUAAAAUUCGUGAAAUUUGAGCCAUAUUUUCCACCCAACACCUAUAUACAUGGACAGAGCUCGGCGAGGACUACUGUUUACAUUGGUCUCAAGCUGAAAAUCUAGCAAAAAAUCUGGCCAAAUUUCUACGACCACCCCCUGUCCGAAGCCAUUUUCUCGACCUAGGCACGUUUUUCUUUGAGAUAAAAAUGCUAGUUUCGACGGCCGUGUGACAAGAAAAUUAUAGUGGCAUUUUAUCUCAAAGAAAAAUGUACUCGAGUCGGCUGCCUCAUUGCGGAACCGAGUUUGGCUGUUUCUCAGGUAAAAAGUUGCUGAUUUGCUGCUGGUUGUUGCUGUUUUGGCUGCUGGAAUUUCAUUUCAUUCUGCUGUAUUUUGGUAUUUUUUACAUUUCACGUAAUUCUUCAUCCUUUGUAAUGCAGAUUUGUAAUAGCAAUCAGUGAAAGUUUUAGCAUGUUUAUAUUAUUUGAGCAUCUUUAAAUGAGUUUGCCAGAAGUUCCAGUUUUGAA